GGGGGUAUAGCUCAGCUGGUAGAGCAGCGGACUCUUAAUCCGUUUGUCGUAGGUUCGAUCCCUACUGCCCCUACCA
rnacentral:tRNA from 1 species